rnacentral:tRNA from 1 species
GGAGGGUAUAGCUCUGUGGUAGAGUGCAUGCUUAGCAUGCAUGAGGUCCUGGGUUCAAUCCCCAGUACCUCCA